GGACUGGUUAGCUCUGUCGGUUAGAGCAUGGUGCUGAUAGCACCAAGGUCGUGGGUUUGAUUCCCGUUUGGUCCC
rnacentral:tRNA from 1 species